rnacentral:lncRNA from 1 species
GUCACAUUGUCUGCUACUGUGCUUAUCAGGCUCUGAGGACCCCUUUAGGUCAGCAGAGGACUCCUAACAAUAAAGUCAGCUGAGAUGCAAGGACUUUGAAUUUGUUUCUGCUAUCCUUUGUGGCCAAAUCAUUUUGCCCUUUUAGGAGAUGAUUGUUGGUCACAGAUCUGAAUGAACAUUGCUGGGAAAAACUAAUGGGGGGG